rnacentral:rRNA from 1 species
GUGACCUCAAAUCAGGUAGGACUACCCGCUGAACUUAAGCAUAUCAAUAAGCGGAGGAAAAGAAACUAACAAGAUUCCCCUAGUAACUGCGAGUGAAGCGGGAAAAGCUCAAAUUAAAAUCUGUCAGUCUUGGCUGUCCGAGUUGU